rnacentral:rRNA from 1 species
GUGGGGAAUUUUGCGCAAUGGACGAAAGUCUGACGCAGCAACGCCGCGUGUGUGAUGAAGGUUUUCGGAUCGUAAAGCACUUUCGUCCGGGAAGAAAAAACAGGUCCUAAUCAGCCUGCAUUGACGGUACCGGAAGAAGAAGCACCGGCUAACUCUGUGCCAGCAGCCGCGGUAAUACAGAGGGUGCAAGCGUUGUUCGGAAUUAUUGGGCGUAAAGCGCGUGUAGGCGGCAUGGCAAGUCGGGUGUGAAAGCCCUCAGCUCAACUGAGGAAGUGCGCCCGAAACUGCUGCGCUUGAGUACCGGAGAGGGUGGCGGAAUUCCCCAAGUAGAGGUGAAAUUCGUAGAUAUGGGGAGGAACACCGGUGGCGAAGGCGGCCACCUGGACGGUCACUGACGCUGAGACGCGAAAGCGUGGGUAGCAAACAGGAUUAGAUACCCCAGUAGUCC